rnacentral:rRNA from 1 species
AAUCAACGCUGGCGGCGUCCCUAACACAUGCAAGUCGAACGCGAAAGGGACUUCGGUCCUGUGUAGAGUGGCGUACGGGUGAGUAACACGUGGGUAAUCUACCUCCGAGUGGGGAAUAACUCAGGGAAACUUUAGCUAAUACCGCAUAAUGCAGCAAUGUUAAAGCAGCAAUGCGCUUGGAGAGGAGCCUGCGCCUGAUUAGGUAGUUGGUGAGGUAAUGGCUCACCAAGCCUGCGAUCAGUAGCUGGUCUGAGAGGACGGCCAGCCACAAUGGCAUUGAAACACGGGCCAUACUCCUACGGGAGGCAGCAGUGGGGAAUUUUGCGCAAUGGACGAAAGUCUGACGCAGCAACGCCGCGUGAAGGAUGAAAUCUCUCGGGAUGUAAACUUCGCUAGUGUGGGAAGAAAAAAAUGACGGUACCACAUGUAAGCCCCGGCUAACUCCGUGCCAGCCGCCGCCGUAA